rfam:Lewinella sp. 4G2 scaffold26_cov53_read170, whole genome shotgun sequence.
UUGCCCCGGGCAGCAUACGAACAGCUCCUUUUGAACUCCCCCAGGGCGGAAACGCAGCAAGGGUAGAAGGUUGAGCGUUCGGUAUGCUUGCCUUUUU